AGGAGAGGGAAUCCAUCCAUGGUGAUGGACGCAGCUAGAGCGGUGGCGAUGCCGUCGCUGUCGCCGGCCACCGUCGCGGCGAGGCCGAGCAGCCGCCGCCUUCACAAGGUCGCCGCCAUGGCCACCCAGAAGCCCACCUCCGGCACAAGAAGGGGGACGACGGUGUACUUCCCGGUGGGGGAGCCGGGGCCGAGGCAGACGACGAGCGGGAAGGCGGCGGCGCCGCCGGUGAAGCUGCUGACGAACGUGGAGAAGCUGCGGCUGCUGACGAAGGCGGAGAAGGCGGGGCUCCUGUCGGCGGCGGAGCGCGCCGGGCUGUCGCUGUCGGCGGUGGAGCGGCUGGGCCUGUUGUCCAAGGCGGAGGAGCUGGAGGUGCUGUCGGCGGCGACCGACCCGGGCACCCCCGGCGCGCUGCUCGGCGUCGCGCUGCUGCUGCUCGCCGCCGGCCCCGCCGUCGUCUACCUCGUCCCGGAGGAGUACCCAUGGGAGGUCGCCGUCCAGGCCGUGGUCGCGCUCGCCUGCGUCGUCGGUGGCUCCACCGCCUUCGCCGCCUCCAGCUUCGUGUCCAAGCUCCAGAGCUCGUCCAGCUGAAGCGAUU
rnacentral:misc_RNA from 1 species